GGCUUUUUAGUUUAAAUUAAAAUAUUGGUUUUGUAAACCAAAGAUAAUUGUAUAAUUAUUGGCCU
rnacentral:tRNA from 2 species